AUUGAACGCUGGCGGUAGGCCUAACACAUGCAAGUCGAACGCGAAAGUCCUUCGGGAUGAGUAGAGUGGCGGACGGGUGAGUAACGCGUAGGAAUCUAUCCUGUAGUGGGGGAUAACGUUUCGAAAGGAACGCUAAUACCGCAUACGCCCCACGGGGGAAAGCGGGGGAUCUUCGGACCUCGUGCUAUAGGAGGAGCCUGCGUCGGAUUAGCUAGUUGGUGAGGUAAAGGCUCAACAAGGCGACGAUCCGUAGCUGGUCUGAGAGGAUGAGCAGCCACCCCGGAACUGAGACACGGUCCGGACACGUACGGGGGGCAGCAGGGGGGAAUGUUGCGAAAUGGGGGAAAACCUGACGCAGCCAUACCGCGUUUGGGAAGAAGGCCUUCGGGUUGUAAAGCACUUGCAGUGGGGAGGAAAAGCUGGUGGCUAAUAUCCAUCGGCCGUGACGCUACCCACAGAAGAAGAACCGGCUAAUUCCGUGCCAGCAGCCGCGGUAACAC
rnacentral:rRNA from 1 species